UUUGUAAUUAGCUCGUGUUUAGUCCUCCUAAUUAGCAUCCGAACAUCUGAUGUGACCCUGCUAAAAUUUAGCAUCUCAUAUCAAACAACCCUUGAAUCAUCCAUCAUUGAAGAGGACAUAAACUCAAUGCCGGUACCCGGUGGCCAGGGGAUCUAGGCAGGUUUGGAUUCGGACUCCCUAAAUUCCCAAUACGUCACCGGAUCCGACCCUUUCUUACUCCGACCCGACGGAAGGUGAAACGAAUGGAUCUCUGUUGAGAACUUGAGACGCAUAGAUCCACGGCAAAAUCAGGAGCCGAUUUGGACGUCGUCAUGGACAAGUGGAAUUUUUGCAGUCACAAACUGGGGGGAAAAAAGAUGCUUCAAAGUAACAGCUUUAUCCAAAACUAUAUGUAGAUCGGAACUUUUGAAAGGCCACUGCAAUGCUUAACGGAGACUGAUCAGUGUGCCUCCUUUUUCUUCUAUAAUUCAUUUUGGAUCUACAACUUCAUCACACAAAUAGCAGCCUAAGAGUGUUCACCGCCUGUUGUUUGUGUUUCUAUGAUAUUUGUCAUGCUUACUGAGCUAAGCGCUUAUCUAGAAUAAUUCCUAAAGGUGAACGCGUCCACACUGCAUUUUUAUCUAGGAAGAAAAUCUUAUACAUGAUAAUAUUUUAUAUAAAUUCUUGGUUUUGAUGGGACAGCCAUCCUAUAAAUUGCAGUUUUCCAAGGAGCAAGAUCAUUGCGAUUGGAUUAGUAGUUUGCCUAAUGAGAUUCUGGUCACCAUCCUUCACAAGUUGGACACCAAACAAGGUCAACCACUUUGUUCAAUCUCUGCGAUCGUUCACAUAGAUUAUAAGAGAGGGGAAACAACUUUGAGAAAAACUGUCUCUAGCGUUCUCGGGCAGUGCCGAGUGCACUGAUGUUGUCAACUGUGCCAUAGCUUCUGCAGCUGAGCGGAGUGUUAUGGACAUUGACGUGGCAAUUGUCGGACAUACAGAGUACGAGUUCCCUUCAUGGUUGUUCUCUAGUGAUAGAUGUUCAUCACUGGUCACUUUAUGCCUGGAUCAUUGCAAGCUUUCUGUUCCCCAUCAGCUUCAGAGGAUUCUCUUCUCUCACGAAGUUCGUUCUAGUCGUGAUGGACAUGAGUCUGAAGGAUACACAGGUUCUUCUCCUCAGGAACUGCACAAACCUGCAAAGUUUACACCUGAUUGACAUUAAUGAUAUUAUAGUUCUGCAGCUUCCAAAGCUUGAGGAAUUAGUAUGGCUUUGGACUUCUCCAUGUGGCACAUUCAAGAUUGAUACGCCGGCUUUGCGAACGCUGGAUUACUGUGGAGAAGUUCUUCUCCCAACAUCUACGUUUCAGUCCUUGCCAUGUCUUCAACAUGUUUCUCUGCAAUAUGUUUAUGGUAACCACCCUGACUGUCAUGCUGCAAAGUUACGGAUCAUCUCUACUUGAUUUCCUCAUGUUAAGAGCUUGCACACCUGCGGUAUCAUUGUAUCAAGUCCCCAAGUUUGUCAGACUGAGAACGCCUGGUGACGCUACAAACUACUUUUUUCGCGCAUUUUUCUUGGAAGGAAUGAGUUGACCCAUGUACAUGUUUUGACAUUUUCCAUCCAAGGUGCGCUAUUUAUCAUGUUUUGAAUCUCAUACUGGUGCCGUGUGGGAUGAUUCCAAUUUUGAGCACAGCAGUUUGAAGGAAGUGGAGAUGUAUAAUUUCAAGGGAAGAGACAAUGAGAUAGGCUUUGCUAGACUACUGCUUCAUAGAGCUCCAAACAUGAGACACAUUGCUUUCAGCCAAGCUCCUCUGCGUGAAGCUGUGGAUCGCCAGUUCAUACCCCCCCUGAACUGGCCUAGAGCUGAAGAAUUCAGCCCUAGAGACUAUUAGUUAGUUCUCUCUAAAUCAGUGGAUGGUGGUGUUUCUUCUAGUGUGCACGUGUCAUUCAUGUAAUUUGAAGGGCACAUCUGAUUCCAUUGUGCUACACCUCCAGAUGCAAUGUGGCAUGUAGUAUAUGACUUUAUUGCAAAUGAGAACUAAGUUUAUUAGUGAUACUAUUAUAGUCU